CGUAGGGGGCAAGCGUUGUCCGGAUUUAUUGGGCGUAAAAGAGCGUGUAGGCGGCCGCACAGGUCCGUUGUGAAAACUGGAGGCUUAACCUUCAGACGUCGAUGGAAACCGUGCGGCUAGAGUCCGGAAGAGGAGAAUGGAAUUCCUGGUGUAGCGGUGAAAAUGCGCAGAUAUCAGGAAGAACACCCGUGGCUAAGGCGGUUCUCUAGUACGGUACUGACGCUGAGACGCGAAAAGCGUGGGGAGCGAACAGGAUU
rnacentral:rRNA from 1 species